rnacentral:rRNA from 1 species
GGGCCCGCACAAGCGGUGGAGCAUGUGAGUUUAAUUCGACGCAACGCGCAGAACCUUACCAGCCCUUGACCAUCCCGGUCGCGGUCUCCAGAGAUGGAUUCCUUCAGUUCGGAUGGACCGGAGACAGGUGCUGCA